GGGUCUCCACUCUGAAGUGCCUUGUUACUGCUGACAAGACCUGCAUGACUGACCAUCUGCUCCUUAAGAGACAAAAACUGACAUUGCUUCUAAGUUCAAAAUGACAUGCCAAAACAAGAAGUAGAAAAUAACUGUAACACAUUUAUGACAUUCGUUUCUUUCUGUACAUGAAACAUACAAUGAGAACACUUUAUAGAUGAAUUGUGCCUUCACUGGGACUAGCUUUAGUUUUAUGAAAUUGGAUAAUUUGUCAUAGUUUCUGCCCCUGGAAAAAUGACAACUCAGAGGAAAACUAGUGGAAAGACUUU